AGAAAAUAAAAUAGAAAGGGAAAGAAGGUACUAGAGAGAAGGAGAAGUAACAACCACAUUCCGAUCCGGCCACAAGGAGUCUGAUUCCAGCCGAGAUUUCUUCAAAAAUCCUUCACAAAACCUAUAGAAAGCAUUCUAUACCAUUGAAUCGUCCAAAACCGUCAAAGAACGAAGAAAAUCCAUAGAGAGGAUUUCACUCAUAAUCCGUGAAGGAAGUCUUGAUCAAUUCAGAUCGAAAAUAGGAGUUCCAGCAGUCACCAAAUUGAUAGAUGAAAGGAAGAAGAUGAACGAUAGAGGGACGUGUGUCAAGCAAGGAGAGAGUCACGCGUCGCUGGAAGGUGGGACACGUGUCAAGUGUGUAAUGGCGGAGGAAACUAACGGAAAAAUCUUGCAUUGGGUAGGAUUUGAAGGCUCGCGCCCGCAACUAAACUCGUGAACCCACGUGUCGACCGACCCAAACCCGUCUCCGCAUUCGCCACGCGUUAGCAUGAGAAAAAUCGUAGGAAUCCACGCACGUCCAAAUUCAAACGCAUGCCCUGACUCUCAGUGGACCAAUCAGCCCUCGCCAUGUGGGGACACCUCAUCGCACAACUCCAUCCCCUCUCUGUGCGCGUGGGAGACCCCUCCGGUGCGUGGGGUGCGUGAACCAAUGCGACCUAUCAGUGAACAUCCAAGAAAUUUGGAGCUCACAAUUAGCUAAAAAGUAAGUUUUGAAGAGAACGCUUCAUUCCAGUAAGUAACCACAUGGAAUUAGAAAGUAAUACAUGUAGGGUGUGCUUGGUUUUGCAUGCAUGCUAGAAAAAAUUACGCCGGGGUGUGGCUAAAUCUAAUG